GGCCCUGCUUUUGUGGGGUGCUCGAGUGGCGAACGGGUGAGUAACACGUGAGUAACCUGCCCUUGACUUUGGGAUAACUUCAGGAAACUGGGGCUAAUACCGGAUAGGAGCUCCUGCUGCAUGGUGGGGGUUGGAAAGUUUCGGCGGUUGGGGAUGGACUCGCGGCUUAUCAGCUUGUUGGUGGGGUAGUGGCUUACCAAGGCUUUGACGGGUAGCCGGCCUGAGAGGGUGACCGGCCACAUUGGGACUGAGAUACGGCCCAGACUCCUACGGGAGGCAGCAGUGGGGAAUAUUGCACAAUGGGCGGAAGCCUGAUGCAGCAACGCCGCGUGCGGGAUGACGGCCUUCGGGUUGUAAACCGCUUUCGCCUGUGACGAAGCGUGAGUGACGGUAAUGGGUAAAGAAGCACCGGCUAACUACGUGCCAGCAGCCGCGGUGAUACGUAGGGUGCGAGCGUUGUCCGGAUUUAUUGGGCGUAAAGGGCUCGUAGG
rnacentral:rRNA from 1 species